AUGUGGGGGUUUAAAGCUGGGUUGGUUUCUAGGCAGCCUGAGACCCCGGGGAUCUGCCUGCUGCCCUGUGUGUGGCCGAAGUCCCGUGGCUGCCUCCCUUCCUACUCCUGGCCUCCCCAGGCCCACGCUUGCUCCUCUGGGGAGCCGUGGACAGUAGGCAGCAAGGCCCUGAAGCUGUCAGAGGCUGUCCUUUCCCUGGGUGGUCAGCCAUGUCCCCUCCUCCCAGCGGAGGCUCUCCCGUUUUACUCCAAGGUCCCUAGGCCGGAGUGCAUUUCGUUAAUGGCGGCUCGGCCCCUCCGAAGCCUCAGAGCCCCGUUCCCCAUCCCCCCACCCCAUACUUCCUGCGUGACCUGCAGUUCACUUGGUCGCGGGUGUUCUCACUCAUUGUGUGACAUGAGCUGUGCCUUUCCCAGGGGGCUGGGUACAAGAGCUCCUGGGACUUGGCCCCGUAUGUCUUCCGAGGGGCUGACCUGGGAUACCCGCUCUGCUUGUAGCAGGAGGGGAUUUGCUGGUGGAACACGAGCUUUCUGGCUUGUGCUGGAAGGUCCCCCGAGUGGACUGGACUCGAUCAUGCGCCGCCCACCGGAGACGGAGCUAAUGGUCUUUCCCCUUUGGUUUCAGGGUCCGCCUGGCCCCCAGGGCCCAAUCGGCUACCCGGGUCCUCGAGGUGUCAAGGUGAGAUUCUUGCAGCCCCACGUCUUCCUGGAGGUCAAGAUUGGGACUGUGGGCCGAGGCUUGACGAGUUUUAGGGAAUUUCUCCGUGGUUUAACCUCCCUCCUGUCUGGACUGGAGAAGCCCUGGUCCUCCCAGCCUCCUAUGUGGGAGGUCAGGUCCCCGGACAGGGGCCUGAGCAAGGCAGGGGGUGACCAGCUGGAACCAGGAAGGGCUGAUGCGGAGCAGGGGGCCGUCUCCAGUGUGUCUGUGACAACACGAUGCAUGAUGGUGGCCAUCUGUCAGGACAGAGUAGCGCCUUUUCCUCACGUGACUUUUAUUGUCACUGUUUGUCAAGUUCCCUGCUGCUCCCUUGGGCCCCUCGCACACAGCGGGUCUCAGCCGAGGUGA
rnacentral:lncRNA from 1 species